rnacentral:tRNA from 1 species
AAAAAGAUAAGCUAAUUAAGCUACUGGGCUCAUACCCCAUUAAUAAAGGUUACAAUCCUUUUCUUUUUG